rnacentral:tRNA from 1 species
GGGCGGUUAGUGUAGUGGUUUAUCAUCCCACCCUUCCAAGGUGGGGGACACGGGUUCGAUUCUCGUACCGCUCA